rnacentral:misc_RNA from 1 species
CCGAGUUAGGGUCCUCGUCGGGCCCGACCUCCCAACCCAUUGUUUAUGAUACCCAGUGUUGCUUCGGCAGGCCUGGUCUCGACCUGCCGGAGGGCCGUAACACGCCCCUCGGAGAGUGCCUGCCGACGGCCCCAACUUCAAAAUUCUUUAACCAAACGUGUCUUUGUCUGAGUAAAGUCUUUAAUAAAAGCA